rnacentral:rRNA from 1 species
GUGCCAGCCGCCGCGGUAAUACGUAGGCAGCAAGCGUUGUUCGGAGUUACUGGGCGUAAAGGGUGUGUAGGCGGUCUUCUAAGUUUGGUGUGAAAUCUCCCGGCUUAACCGGGAGGGUGCGCCGAAAACUGGAAGGCUAGAGUGCGGGAAGGGAGAGUAGAAUUCCUGGUGUAGCGGUGAAAUGCGUAGAUAUCAGGAGGAAUACCGGUGGUGCAGACGGCUCUCUGGACCGCAACUGACGCUGAAACACGAAAGCGUGGGUAGCAAACAGGAUUAGAUACCCUCGUAGUCC